AAUCCACGCCUGGCUCCGGGAGUGCUAACUGCCCAGGAGAUUGAUAUCUAGGGUGCAAAGGCUAAAAAAAUUAGAUUAAUUUAGCUCAGCUGUGCUCACUGAAGGAUUGGGUUGCAGCUGGUGCUGAAACAUUAGCGAUCAGGCCUCCGAGAUCGGGGGCAAGUCUCAAGUUGGAAGGAAGGGAGUAAGAUGGAUUGCCUCUCAGCAUGCCCGCUCCCCAGGAAAAUGAUAGCCUACCAAAGCAGCCCCAGCAUUACAGACAAUGCAGUGGAACACCAGUAAGAAAAUUUCCUAGAACAUGAAGUCCCAGGAUUGGAAGCAUAUAUAACUAAGUAACCAAUCUGAUGCUUAAAUUCCUUACUGCCAAUUAAUUGGAGAUAAUUUUCCAAAUUCUUGGUAAAAUUUAUAUUUUUUGGAAGACACAUACUUGGAGGCAUUCACAGGAAAUAUAUGCAUAAGAUGGCCAAGAGCCCUCCAGACCAAAAUAAUGUUAUCAAAGAUGUCCAAGGAUCUGCAAAUAAGAGGCAAGAUUCCUCAGACAGGUGCACUGUCCUGUUUCUCUUGACCCACUUCUGCACCCCAUCAUGAGGCUGCACCAGCGUGAAAAAUCUCCUUUCAAGAAACAGACUUCGCUAUUAGUUCUCAAUGCACCAAAAAGUCAGCAGUGGUAGCUCCGCCUCCUCUCCUCCCCCAAAAGAAAUCUUCCUCGACUUACAAUGGAGUUACAUCCUGAUUUGCCCAUCAUACGUUGAAAAUAUCAAAUCACCAAGAAUAAGAGGAUUCAGUCAAAAUUUCUGAGACAAUCUCCUCUGGCUGAGCAAGAGGUGGUCCAAAAGCUUCUGCUUCUUUUGAGUUGCACUUAUGGUGUUGCUUUUUCUCACAGUCGACAGUGGAAGCAACAACGGGUAGGUGUGCUCCAGGAUGUGUGGUUUCAGUGGAUGCUCCUAAUGCAAGCAAAGAAGGGACUGUAAAUAAAGCAGACGUGCAGAUGCUACUACUGUGAGAAGCGCUGGGUCUUUUCCCUAAUGCUCAGUGAAUCCCCAUGACUCCAGGACACUCUUGACUUCCAGCCAAUACAUCACAGUCUUCCCCUGCAAUGGCUACAGAGAGAGGUUAAAAAAAAUAGCCCACAAGAGUGCUCUUUCCUUCUCUCUCUGCUCCUUCAGCUCCAAGAAUAGACUCAUUGACGAAGUGUGUCUCUGUGUGUCUGUCUGUUACCCCAUGAUGCAUGCUGCUUCUUAUCCUGUUCUUGGGCCUUUCCUAGAAACGACCUCAGGCAGAGAACUGAAAAUUAAGCAGAAGGAGAAGGGACUAAAGCUACUUCCCAAGAAUAGUUUCAACAAUAAUUACGGCAGUGACGAACGUGCUGUCUGGGGAAAUGUUUGGGAACCUUCAACCCCUUGCGCACAGGCACACAGUUAGUGAGGGGCGUGCAGCCCAUUCACGGGCUGUCUGAUUCUGACAGCUGAGUUCUUACACAGGGCAUCAUCCUAAGCUCAAAAAUGUCAGUUGGAAAGGAAGAAAUCAGCAUAGCGUUAUGUGCAGAGCGAGUGCCUAUAUCGAUGAGAAUCGGAAAGAGAGCCUCUCCAUGCUUCUCCACCUGCUCCGUGUCCAGGACACUGACCUGUCUCACCUGCUGCAACUCCUAUCUCUUUCUGCACCUGAUGCUCUCCAUCAGGGUUCCAGUAACUCUCCUGUGUCCCUUCAGGCUGGGGUGGAAAUGCUCCCCACCCUGCAUGGCUGCUAUGGCUUCCCUGCGUGCUGCCCACACCUUGAACAUCAUUUCUUCAUUAAACUCUCCUAUGUUACCCAUUUUAAGGCUUCCACCUGUUUCUUGCCAAUACCCUGACUGAUUCACACUUACAAUAUUACAUUACAAAUAGAAAAUCUACAUUGCACCUACAUUCUGACUGUCAAGAAUUUCUAUACCCCGCAAAUACUAUAAAGGUCCUCCCUCCCUCCAUAAAACUUCCCCUCCCACUCUGUCCUUUCUCCAGCAGAUGCCACACACUCCACACUUCACACUCACAGCUUUGUUUUCUGCUCUUCCUUCUGUGGCUCUCGAUCCAUAUGGUGAUGCCCCUAACCCUCCGUCUCCCACCUCACUCCCACCGUUAU
ensembl:lncRNA